CAACAUCCUACGUUGAAAAUGGACUAGACGAUACUGAUAAUAAUAAUGGUUUUAUGCAAAAUUGCAGUGCAACAGAUCACUCAACGGUUGCUGAGCAUGAAUUAACAUUUUUAGCGCUUGGAAUAGUUUCAACAUCCUAUGUUUAAUAUGGAUUAGAAGAUUGCAGUACAGCAGAUCUUUCAAGCCAUGAUGAAACAUGAAUUAUCGUUUUUAGCACUUGGGAAAAUUUGGACAUCCCAUGUUGAAAUUUGACUAGACAAUACUGAUAAUAAUAAUAAUAAUAAUGGUAUUUUGCAUGAUUGCAGUACAGCAGAUCUUUCAAGCCAUGAUGAAACAUGAAUUAUGGUUUUUAGCACUUGGGAAAAUUUGGACAUCCCAUGUUGAAAUUUGACUAGACAAUACUGAUAAUAAUAAUAAUAAUAAUGGUAUUUUGCAUGAUUGCAGUACAGCAGAUCUUUCAAGCCAUGAUGAAACAUGAAUUAUGGUUUUUAGCACUUGGGAAAAUUUGGACAUCCCAUGUUGAAAUUUGACUAGACAAUACUGAUAAUAAUAAUAAUAAUAAUGGUAUUUUGCAUGAUUGCAGUACAGCAGAUCUUUCAAGCCAUGAUGAAACAUGAAUUAUGGUUUUUAGCACUUGGGAAAUUUGGACAUC